GCAGAUAAACAAUCAAACAUAGAAUAAUAAAGCAGAACUCUUCAUCACUGAGCUGCUUAUAAGUUUCAGCAAAGACCUGACAGAUAGAGACAGAAUAGGCCCAAAUCUAAAGUGUAACCACCAUGUCUUUGUUUAACAAACUGAAAAUAAAACCUCUGAACAUGAUGGAGUUUGGUCAUUACAUCAACAAAUAUAAUUUAACCUGAAGCAAAGGUUCCAGACCUCUCUCUUAUCUGUCCUUUCAAUAUAAGGCCAUGACCAGCAAACCUGACGAAUUGAUUUUACGAAAACAGUAACUUUCACCAGGACACAGUAUUUACACUUCCUCAGGCACAUGUUCUCAGUAACAAGACAGUGUCUGAGAUCGAGCGGAAAUCACAUUCAGUCUUUCCUUCUCUAUUUACAUUUUCCAAUCUGUGUUUUUAAAAUGUAUUCUUUAUAGGUUUGUAUUGCUAAAAGAAAAAAGGAAAAUCCUUAUUUUCAACUGACUCAGUUAUGUGUCUGUGUUUUACUGACAGCAGCUGGCAUUACACUUUGGGGAACCUGAGGCUAAAUAAACAGACCUGCCCUGCGCUACUCGCUUUUGAAAAGUUUUCACCACAAAAACAGACUACUGGUAGUGACUGACAGUGAAUGAACAGUGUAUAUUAAAUAAGUUUCUCCCAGUUUUGAGAAAUGCAAAGAAGGCUGUGUGAACCUCUGCUUUUUGGUUGUAUUUACUUCAGCAGACAAAACCAACUGGAAGUUAAAAGACAAAAUGGAAACUGCUCUUUUAUUUAUUCACUUUUGUUGCUAUUGAACCUGUUUGAUAUACUGUGAUUAUUUGUUACUUUGAAGCUCUUAUAAAUUCUGAAAAUCUUAUCUACUAACAAAUCUAACUACUUUCUUACUGCUAUUCUCAUUUUCUUAUUGUAUCUUAUCGUUAUAAAUAUAUGACAUCCUGUUUGGACUUGCCUCGUGUGUAUGGUUACUUGACUUCCUGCCUUUGUGUGUUUUUUGCCAAACCAAUUAUUAGAGCUUUCCAGCUGUUGCUGUUACUAGCAUGUAUUCCUUCUUCUCUAACAUGUAAUGUUACGCUACUGUGUAGGUGCUAUACUGACUGACAUCCUGUGUAUGACCUCAGGCUCACAAGUGAAGACAUCGAUUCCAAACUUGUACGUAAGUGUGGAGACAAUAUGGACAUUAAAAAGAGGAUGUGUGAACUCUACCUGGAUGGGUCAUAUCCUCACACCAUCCAUGUACCACCAACAGUUCUGCUGCACCCACACUGGAGUCAUCUUCGAUGAUGUCAUCCAUACGGGCCUGGAGGAACCAGGUAUCAAAUAAAUUACCAGGUCAGUGUGGCUGUGAACACCCCAGUGAACCAGGACUUGAACAAGCUCAGUGAGUUUUUUGCUGCUGCCAGCAAUGUUACUGAGACAUUAAAAAUACUGUUGCCAUUUAAAAAUCAUUUAAAAAUCAUUUAAAAAUCCCAACAACAAGGGAGACUAAAGAUUUAGUGGUCAAUCAGUGAAUCUGGUGAAUUUAAAACAAAAAACAUCUGCUUGGUGUAUUUCAUCUCCACAUCUGUGUCUUAGUAUCUUUGUUUCCAAUGCUGGGCUGUCGACAGUUAAAACACAACACUGGAAAUGUGACGGCUGAACCUAACAAUUCAAAUUUUGGUAUUUAUGUCAUUUAACUAAACCAGUUAAACACAUAUUUACUUCAUUGCUUUCUGUUCUUCUGUAAACAUUAUCAAAUCCUCUGCUCUGUGUAAUUAAAGCUUGACUCAGCAUUCA